UAUGGGCCUUGAGAGAGGGAGCCCAGAGAUGGACUCUGAGACAUGAGUCCAGGCCCUACGGGGCGCAGCAGUCGCGAAAACUUCGCAAUGGGGGAAACCCCGACGAGGGAAUUCCAAGUGCCAGCACUUUGUGUUGGCUGUUCUUCUGUCUAAAAAACAGGAGAAGUAAGGGGCGGGUAAGACGGGUGCCAGCCGCCGCGGUAAUACCCGCGCCCCAAGUGGUGAUCGUGAUUAUUGGGUCUAAAGGGUCCGUAGCCGGUUUGGUCAGUCCUCCGGGAAAUCUGAUAGCUCAACUAUUAGGCUUUCGGGGGAUACUGCCAGGCUUGGAACCGGGAGAGGUAAGAGGUACUACAGGGGUAGGAGUGAAAUCUUGUAAUCCCUGUGGGACCACCUGUGGCGAAGGCGUCUUACCAGAACGGGUUCGACGGUGAGGGACGAAAGCUGGGGGCACGAACCGGAUUAGAUACCCGGGUAGUCCCAGCCGUAAACGAUGCUCGCUAGGUGUCAGGCAUGGCGCGACCGUGUCUGGUGCC
rnacentral:rRNA from 1 species